rnacentral:SRP_RNA from 11 species
UGGGCGGCGAUGUGGCUUGUUCUGAGACCGGAGCUGCAGCCUGAGGGGGUGGCGUGUUUGCGCCGACGGAAGCAGCCAGUGCCAGGAGUUGAGGCGUGAGGGUGAGUUGCACAGGAGCAAUGUUCACGUCCACCUCUGGUGGUUGGCUCGACAACGGGCCCCAA